UGUCUCACUGGUGGAUCAUCACCGUGUCACGUCAAUGAUUUCAACUAGUCCAAGUCCUUGAGGGUGUUGAGUUUGUGUAGUGUGUAUUAACCAGAAAUCACCAUCACCAGCUUGCUUUAACCCAUCGUAUCAUCUGACACACACGAUACACCAAUCACUCAGCCAUAUCUUAAACAAUAAGUAACAACGACAAAUAUGAACUAAAUAAAAACUAGGUAUACAAUAAUAAAUAUGAAUCGCCAUCAGAUAUUGAGUGGAGCCUGCAAUGCAGGCGACCGCUGUUAUGCUGUCGGUUCUGUCGAGGGAAUAUCUUUUACUGCAUAUGCAGCCGGGUGCAAUAUUGUAAUUCUUGCUAGUAAUUUUGAAAGAGUUCAAAUAAUACCGGGAGCUGUUCAUAAUUAUAUUAGAAUAAGUUGUCUCGAUUGUAGCACAGACACUGGAAAAAUAGCAGCUGCUUAUGAGAAACAAAUUUGUAUUUUUGAACCAACUCCACUUAUUCACAGUUCUUGUUCUCACGAAUUGGAGUACAGAUGGGUUCAAACUGGAACAUUAUUAACAGAUUCCACUAUCACAUCGUUAUCAUGGAAUUUAGAAGGCACUCGUUUAUUAACCGGCGGCGAGCUUUUACAACUAUGGCACCAAAAUAUUCAGCCGUUUCAGGAAGAGCAAACAAAACCAAAAACACAAACAGAAGAACCCCCGAAAGGAGUUGAACAAAAUGUUACAGGAAAUUCAUCUCAAGAUCCCGAUGGAGUGACAUUUUCUAUUGGUGGAGAAGCUGAGAGUCCUGGACCAGGUGACUUAGCGGCAGCUAAUGAUCCAGGAGCAUGGAACUGCGUCUGGAAAUGCCGAACAGCAACUCCAGUUCAUCUGAUGAGCUUCAGUCCUGAUGGGACUUUGUUUGCUACAACUGGGCGUAAUGAUAAAUUAGUUAAAAUAUGGUUUGAAAAUAAACAACUUUUCCCUAUGAGAAGUAUGGAUCAAUUGAGUUACUGUCAGUCGUUGUUACAUGACAGCUAUAGCUUCGUUUACAUAGCACAUCCACGCGCGGUGACACACUUAUCGUGGCGGAAGACUAGUAAAUAUAUGCCAAAAGGCUCUGUAUCCAACAUGCUCGUGACAUCAUGCCGCGACAACAUAUGUCGAGUUUGGGCCGAAACAAUACCACCAGAGAUCGAGGGUCUAGCUAAUAUGAGUCAGUUCGAAGGCUCUGAUAGACAUGGGCAUCAUGGUAAACAUCGUCAUCACAGUAUGCACAAACAUCGAUUUAUGCAGCGUCUUAAACACAUGAAAACAUGUUUUCACAUAAGACGUCAUGCUAAACAGCAGCAGCAUCAAGCCGGUCAUUCGGCUCCGACACUACCCACGUUACCUUCAACUUACUCUGUUCAUGAUUUCCACAAUAAUUAUCAAGGCUUGGGUCACUAUCCUGGAAUGCACUUUCAUUUGGCAGCUAGUAUCAAUGCUGAAACUGAUAUACCACUGGUACCAAGUUUAAUUACCGGAGAUCCAGACAGAGAACCUAAUUUUAUAUUGCACUGGUUAAAUAAUAAAGAAAUGUAUUUUACUAUGCAAGCGGAAGGGAUUCUCCAGGAACUCACGCGAAAGGUAGUAGAAAAAGAAGAAGGCCUACGAAAUCAUGAAGCAGAUCAUACUGAGCAUGAUUCUGAGGAUGAACUUACACCAAGCAGCAUCUUAUCAUGUUACGGUUUGGCGCAUUCUUUAGAGAAAGCUCCGAAACACCAGUCAAAUGUCAAGUCAGGAGUUGGUGGUCGAACAACUAGUCAAGACGAGCACAGUAGCGAUGAACAUCAUACUGCACACACUGGAUCCUCACAUCACAGUUUACCGUACAGUGGACACUCUCAUCAAAGUCUUAGCAAUACUACCUCGAUAAAUUCGAUAGCAACAGACGCCACAUCAACAAUGAAUCACACGCCAGACUCACUGGAUACUAAAAUAGAAACAUUACUACGCGACUGGCACCACAAUCCUGAUCUUUUAUUCUCGAUCCAUCCAAUUGACGGGAGUUUUUUGAUCUGGCACAUCGAGUGGCUAGACGAGUAUCAUCCAGGAUCAUUUAGACAAGCUCAAAUAUCGUUUUCCACGCGUAUACCCAAUGCGUUUCCUCUCGGAGAUGCUUCGACUAUGAGCCACAACGUGUCUAUGUACUCACACAACACCGGUGGACCGCUGUUGAGUAUACGAGAGGUCGCUAAAUCAGUGUCUAAGCCGCUAGAUCAUCAAGAAAUUGCCACACCACUACCUAGUCUUAUUGAACAGGACGAAGAACAGUCGACGUUAACUUCUAAAGCUGGACAAGAAUUAUUGCAAAAUGUUCAAACAUUUAUAACUUCUAAAGAUAACACGACAACUGCUGCGGAAGAAAAUGCCGCUGCAGAAGCUAACAAACAAAAUCAAGAUGCAGUUAAUGAUUUAUUGAAACAUCCAAGUCCCAUGGUUUCAAUGGUUUCGAAACACUCUAACGGAACUUUGAAUCUUUGGCAAUUGACUUUUGGUGAUAAAACAAAAUUUUCCCAAGUAUUAAGCAUUGGACACGCUUGUCGUGCCUCAGGUCAUCGAUUUCGUGUCAAUGAUAUCACUUGUCAUCCAGUUUUGCCUCUACUAGUAACCACAUCACACCACAAUAUUCCCGAAUUUAACCCACCAAACCCAGAAAAUGUAAAUACUGAGACUCCAGAAACACGUGAUCGAUCUCACACUAAUGAAUUACUAUCAGCUACUGGUUUUUGCAGUGAAUUAAUUCUCUGGCGUGUGGAUCCAGUAGGCCCGUUGUCUAAAAGCGGCGGAGUAUCUGAAUUAGCGCGUAUUAAUUCCUUGGAAAUAUCAGCGUUCAGUAACGUCGCGUGGAUUCCUACAUUAUUGCCCAGUACAACCCUAGGAAAUCUUUCAAACUCUGCGAGUGCUUGCUUUGUGGCAAGUGAUGGUCAAUGCUUAAGAGUCUACCAGGCUGUAAUCGACGCACGGACGCUUCUAGCCGAGGUGUCAAUAAGCGAGAGAAAAAGCCGUAUGAUGGACUCGAUGGCAAGUCUGUCAACAGACAUCUCUUCAGAUGAUGGCAUCAGAAAUUCUAUUCAUGAUAGAAUAAAGAUAGUUUCACAGCAAUCAACUGCGCGACCAGGUUGCAUUAUUCAGCUGGAUGCGAUCUCCGACGCGACACACGACUGGCAAAAUACACAAUUUCUUCACGUAUUUCAAGAGCAGCUCAUCACUGGAGAACGCAAUGAUGAGAAGCAACCGGGAGUGGACCCCUCUGCUAAUGAUCUAGGUCUGAUGGAGUCGACUCUUGACGCAAUGGUCGAUCUUCAACAAUCUGCGAUCUUCGAGGAGCCUUUUUACAUCGUAGUUCUCGAGAGAACUACCAAAGGAACUACCGUACACAUGUGGCGGAUAGUAAUCGCUUCGCAGCCUGAAACCAAUGGACUCACCGGUUCAAUGAUGUACGUUCCGGACUCGCAUCUAGUUCAAGAUGAAGACGAAGAAGGAACUCCUGGACGACAUUCUGAAGGCAGAAGAUCGCGUCGACAAAGUCAAACCACCGGUGGUAGAAGCAGACGAUCUAGUCAAGCCGACUACGACUCAUCGUAUGCUCAUCAUCACCAUCAUCACAAUAGUCACGUCCUUAUAACGACAACCAAAGUUUGUACUCAAGAUCUACCACUUCCUGAUGGCGUUGAAGUAGUCCACGCUUCGCCUGCUGCUGGACAUCUCAGCAGCUCUUCAAUUUAUCCGGCUUGCUUCGCUCCUUAUAUAAUUGUCACCGCGUGCAAUGACAGUACCGUACGCUUUUGGAAGUGUAAAGUUUCUAAAAGUGAAGAUGAUCAGUUGUCAUACGAGUGGCGGGAAUGGGAAAUGUUCAGAAAAGAUCAAGAGUCAGUGAUUGAUAUUUCAGGAACGCCUUUAAAUGUCAGUGCUGCUUACAGUGGUCGUAUUGCUUGUGCUUACAAGUACGGAAAAUCAUUCACAAGGCCAACUAAAGCUGAUCCUGAUUCGCGUUAUGUUAAUUUAUGUGUCGCUAUUUAUGAAUGUGAAAGUACGGGAGGCAGUGAAUGGAUUCUUGAGGAUACAAUUCAUCUGAAAAAUAUCCAUUUACCUCGAAUGCAAGUCGAUCAACAUUUAGACUUAAGUUAUUUGUACGACAGUAGAUUUUUGCAAAAGAAACAGCGGCUUACUCAAGUUUUGCAGACGCUUAGUCAUGAAGAUAUACGUUCACCAAGAAAUGGUGAUAACAGUGAAGCUAAAACUACUGCCGGAUUAUUAGCAGUUCCAUCAUUUAGUACUCUUCAAUCUUUGAGAAAAUCAAUUAUUGAAAAUGGCAACACUUGUCCUUUGACUCAAAAACAUUUGGUACAACUUGACUGGGUAUCAAAAGAAGACGGGUCACAUAUUUUAACAGUAGGUGUUGGCUCUAAAAUAAUGCUUUUUACUCCAGUAUGUUCCGACCUCGCACAAGCGAAUAUGAAAGCCAUGAAGGAAUCCAAAAGUAACAAUCGUCCGAUUUUACGUAAAACUUCCUCGCUAGCACAACCUCAAUUCGUUGACGAGAUUCGUUGGAUGAAGCUGAGAAAAAUAAAGUUAACUACUGCUGACGGAUUGCCGCCACUGCCUAUGCAAAUUUCCUGGGUAAGAGACGGUAUCUUGGUCGUGGGAAUGGAUUCUGAAAUGCACGUGUACUCACAGUGGAAACCCAACCCAAAAAAUGAGUGUCUGCACUCGAUUUUGCAGCACCAGGAGUCUGAUGAGUUUCAAGCUUCAAGAAAUUUACGCGACGAAGAUUUGAGAACUCUUGCACAAGAAACGUCGCAGAGAAGAUUAGCCAAUGUGUCAUCAAUACCCCAUUUGUCACGCGUUAGUAGUAUUAAUUUGACGAUGCUGGAUAUUAAACGAAGACGUGGAUUACAAAGUGACACUGUGACAAUUGAUUAUAUGCCGGACUACGGAUUAUUUGAAGCUUCGCGUAUAGCGUGUCCAGUUUUGCCUCAGUAUCACCCGAAGCAACUGAUGGAACUGCUGCACUGUGGUAAAAUUCGUUGGGUAAAAGCUAUUCUUGCACAUCUAGUCAAAUGCAUCGCUACAACUUGCGGUGCUAAACAAGACGAUGAAAAUCAUUCAAAGCAGCGCAGUGGUUGGACGCGUACUCGCACCAUGUCUGUUAAUUACACCGGAACUAGUUCUCCGAUGGAACAACGAGGAUCUACUACACAAAUUCCAGAAGAAUUUUUCCUCGACUAUGCAGAAAUAGUUUUCAUCACUCCGCUACCACUUUGGCGUCUUUUAAAAGCAGAUAAAGAGUCCUGCGCUACGCAGACACAGGAUGAUGAUAAGCAGGAUUACAAUGAAUUGUUCGACGGCCAUGUGGACGAGGAAGAGUCCUUGGACGCGAUGUUAGAGGAGAGUUACGACAGUUCAAGGCAGAUGGACCGCAGAUCAUCUAUCCCCGACAAACAAAGUGGUGCUCACUUUGGACCGCGUGAAGGUCGCCAGCUGUCACAAAUGUUGACGCACUCGCAUCUCCCGGGGCUGUCUAGCUUAGAUCAGAUGCAUUUACUCGCCCUCGCUGACACUGUGUCUACUUGUGACGUUGAUUUCGCGGAACGUUUCGCUAUUGAUGCGGCAAAGACUGCGAUAGCGAAAGAAAACCUUACUGGUACUCCAGACGGCGAAAGUGUUUCCACCAAUUCUCUGGAUGAUUGUGGUCUGAGGUUCCUUUUAGCUAUGAAGCACUACAAUUAUCUUAUCCGUUGCCUUCCUUUGUCACAGCGAGCACAAUUUCAGAAGCAAGGAGUAUCCACGAAUAAUUUAGUCUGGGCGUUUCACUCAGAAACGGAAGAAGAAAUGCUAGGUUUGAUUCCUUCGUACGCCAAAGACCAGCCUAAAUGGUCAGUUCUGAAAGAACUAGGUGUUGGCUGGUGGAUUCGAAGCAAUGCAGUUCUUAAAACUUGCAUGGAAAAGAUUGCCAAGUCCGCGUUUCAACAGCAUCAAGACCCACUGGAUGCGGCGAUUUACUACUUAGCGAUGAAAAAGAAGAAUUUGGUAUGGGGCUUGUUCAGGAAUAAACGUGAUGACCGUAUGACUAGUUUCUUCUCUAAUGAUUUUAAAGAAGAUCGUUGGCGAAAAGCUGCUUUGAAAAAUGCCUACGCAUUGUUAGGCAAGCAGAGGUUUGAUCACGCAGCCGCGUUCUUUUUACUUGCAGGGUCUCUGCGUGACGCUGUUGAAGUUUGUUUGACUAAGUUGAACGACAUACAGCUGGCAAUGGUAGUCUCGAGGCUUUACGAAGACGAUAUAGCUUCUCCAAACUUCAAACGGCUGCUGUAUGAAGAAAUUUUAGGCUGCGAGGAAAAUAAAACAGUUACUGAUUUAAAUCGCGUGCAUCCGGAUCCAUUUUUAAGAAGCAUGGCUCUGUGGAUGCUGAAAGACUACUCGGGAUCAUUGAAUACGCUUCUGUUGACUAAUGUAGGAACGCAGCACGCACAGUACAAUGACGAGUCUGAAAAACCUGAAGGCGCGACUGCUAAUCCAAAUGUCUUUAAUUUCUACGUGUACCUUCGAACACAUCCGUUGUUAAUUAGACAAUACAUUGCUUCUACUGCACAAGACAAAAAGAAAGUAACCUCCGUAGUAUUGUCAGGAUUUAGCUACGGAAUGGAAUCUAAAGGUCAACCGGACAAACAACUUACUCUGGAAGACAGUAUUACUCCCCUGGAAAGACAAUUGUAUUUUACGACAGCUCACGCUCAUUUUAAGGCAGGCUGUCCUGCGUUGGCGCUCGAGGUUUUGUCUAAGUUGCCUAACAAAGUGAUGGAACCCAACGGUGAAGAUACUCCCAGUAUUUUGAAUAGUCCCAGCAAAUCUCGAGCGAACGAUUCGUUGAUAGAUACUGGUAUGAUGAGCUGGGAUACGCCCAAGAAAGUUAAAAAUUCAGACUCAAGUUCUGCCAUGGAUUGGGGCAGCUCGGCCAUGGACUGGUCUCAGCCAGUUAUCAGAGAGCCAGAAGAGCUUGAACUCAAGUGGGAUGACGAUGAACCUGGUGAAGAUGCGGAGAGCCCGCCUUUGAGCAUGGAUACUGAGAAGAAGACUGAGCAGCCGAAAGAAGAGAAAAGAACUGAGUCUCCGAAACCAGUAGGGCAGCUGGAUAUAAUGGCGCAGCAAUUAAAAUUCGUCGCUUGUUUGAAAAUUUUAAUGGAAGAAUUAUCAACUCUUGCUACGGGAUUUGAGGUUGAUGGCGGACAAUUGCGUUAUCAAUUGUAUAUUUGGUUAGAAAGGGAAGUCGAUGCGCUGAAACAGCUUUGUAAUUACAGUGUAAAUACUGACGGAGAUGUUUCUAACAUUACUGAGUAUGACAAUGAAGACAUUGGUCCCUACAAACCUGGUGAACAAAUGACGUUACAUGAAAUUUUAUUAUCCGAAAAAUUAGACUUUGAAGCUAAAGUUCAGAGAGCAGCUAGGAGAAAAAAGUGGUUGAAAGCUAAUGAGACAUUGUUGCGAACUAUGCUGUCUUAUUGUUCUCUACACGGUGCAUCGGGUGGUGGAUUGGCAUCUGUGAGAAUGGAAUUAGUUUUGCUGCUUCAGGAAUUGCAGCAAGAAAAAACCCAACAACAAUUACUGAGUCCUUUACCUUUCCCAACGACUUUGCCGCUUUUGAGUGCAAGCGUCGCCUGUAAUAAGACUGUUGUAGCAGACCCAGUAAGACAUCUACAGGCUCUUGCUCAUGACAUGCUGCAAACAUUAAUAGAACUACGGAAUCCUCCAACUUUAAGUAACAACGGUACUUGCUAUGAAAUCUUCACACUUCGUGAUUUGACUGUCGCAUUGAGUUCUUGCAUCUAUCAAUCGCUGUGUGACUCCGAUACGACUAAAAAUCAGCAGCCAGAAAUAUUCCCAGCUAUCGCUGAGAUUGAAUCAUUCUCUGGUGGUCAUCUAGUAGCGUCAAAUAAAGUCACGCGUCGCUAUUCACUGGAUGAAACGGUGACAAUAACAACACCGCCGUCUAAGUGGCCUGGAGUGACGAAUCUCCGAGCACUUUUGGCACGUGAAAAGGACGAAGACACGCCGAAAUUAAAUAUUCUUCUGUGUGAAGCCUUCGUGUCAACAUACAUGAGUUUAUUUGUCUACGCUCUUGCAAGCUGUGACAGUCAUUUGCUCUUUCGUCUUGUAGGGCAUCACUUUGACAAUACUACAUGGUCAUGUUUGUUUGGUGGUGGUGUCAAAAAAUUGGUACGUAUUGCCAGUACAAAUCGCAAUGACAGUGCGUCAAGUGUCGUCGAACGCGCCGAUAGUAUUUCCGGAGAAAUUCAAGCUGCUGCUGGUGGUGUUUGGAGCACAAUGACGUCAUUAACCAAGCAACGAGUUAAAUUAAAUAUGAAAUUACUUGGACAAUUUACGGGGCAAACUCCUAUUAUUAAAGAAGACAAACCGACGUAUCGUGAGCAAUUUGUUUCCCCUCAGAUGAGUAUGGUUUCAUAUUUUCUAAUGAAACCGAGAAUUGAAAGUGAGUAUGCUAAUGAAAUAGACUACGAUUCUUCGGAUUCAGCAGUUUCGGAUUUAGGUACGUCGGACGAGGAGGAAGAUGUCUUUGAUACUAAUGCUAAACCAAAGAGUAAACCAAAGGACAAUACUGAGCAUCUGAACUCAAAUGGGUACAGUUGGUGUGUCAUGAGAUUGGCUAUUGUUAAGAUACUUGAGCAGCAGCUUCAGAACUUUUUAAAUGUCGCUGGUAUUGAGUUGCAAGAAUUGCCGGUAAGCAGUCCGCUGAUACAUGCCAUUCUCGGCGUUGUUGCGCAGUGGGAAGAUUCGUUGAGAGAUGAAUUGGAGGCCAAAGGGCCGCCACCGAGUAAUUAUAUUCUUGGAUGCACGCCAGACCCUAAUCCUUUACCGGGUAAACCGGCGAUUCAUAAAUAUCGCGCUCUGCUGGAGAAAGAAAAUACACCUUUUAAUACUCGACUUGCUAGCGCUGCGCCUGUUAAUCGCUUGUGGUGUUAUUUAGUGAGACAGGAGUCUGUUCAGGACAUUUUUAUUCGAGCGGUGUUUGGUAAACAUCGCUCGUUAUCGGCGAUGAUGGAAAAUUCACAGUCGGCUGUUGACAGCGCUACGCGUAGUGGUAGCGAGGAUAAAGGAAGCGAUAGCGGUACGACAAGUCUUCCUGAGCCUGUUAGGAUUAUUCACAAGGAACAAGAUAGUAUCAGUGCCUUUUGCCUCAAUCAGGUAAAUCCUGGAUUAAUGGCUCUAGCUACGCCACGAGAAGUCCAAGAAAUGGAUAUAUCCUUAUUACUAGAACUUCCGUCGUGGCUUGAAGAUGAAUGUGAAUUCGAUAUUAUUAAUUUAAAUAGAUCUGUCGAACCAGAGCCUGUUCAGCCUACUAGUUUCUUAGUCAUUCAAACAGCUGCUGAUAGACCAUUAUUAGCACAAAAUCCAUUACCAAAUACUCCACAACCGCAGUCGGGAAUCGCUAGUCAGAGUGGACGUGGAGCAAGUGUGAUGAAGGGGAUGCCCGCUUUUCCUGGCUCCCACGACCUGCGCUUCUGUCAGUUUGUCGCUGAUAGGAGUAAACACUUAAUGAAGCCGAUACUGAAGCACAAAACUGAUGGAAUAAGAAGAUUAUCUGCACAUCCAUUAUUACCUCUGUACUUAACUGGAUCUCAAGAUGGAUCAGUAUCUUUAUGGGAAUGGGGCCAUCAAACAGCAGUAUCAACUCCAAGACCAGCUGGAACAUUCGCUAAAGUAACACGUGUACAUUUUUCACAACACGGUAAUAAAUUUGGAGUUGCUGAUUCCGAUGGUCAUCUUAGUUUAUUCCAAGUUGCGUGUCGUGAAGGAACAGCGCGACCCUUCUUUAAUUACCAAUGUCACAGUAAAGUAACUGCUGAUUUUGUAUUCCUGGGAGCUUGCAGUCUCGUCGCUACAGCAGGACAUGGUUCUGAAGGUCGCAACGUAGCUCUCUGGGAUACAUUACUCCCGCAAAAUAAAUCCCUCGUCCAAGGUUUUACCUGUCACGACCAGGGGGCAAGUUCAGUUAUUCUUGCUCCACAACAUCAAUUGUUGAUAAGCGGGGGCAAAAAAGGUGAUAUUAAUAUUUUUGACGUAAGGCAAAGACAACAGAGACAUCGAUUCCAAGCUCACGAAUCAGCCAUUAAGUGCCUGGCACUUGACCCUCAUGAAGAAUUUUUCGUUAGUGGUGCUGGUGAUGGAGAUAUCAAAGUAUGGGCCCUAACCGUCCAUUCAUUAUUAUAUUCGUUCCCCGGUGAACAUCCUCGAUCGAGCUUCUUUAAAAAUAUCGGCCAGGGUGUUACUCAGCUACACGUAGAUUCAGCUGGUCGUUUAUUCUCGUGUGGUGCAGAUGGUUCUAUGAAAGUUCGUCAAUUGCCUGAGCGAGACUGCGUAGUGCAUACGUAUUACUAGGACACUAAGUUUAUUAUUUAAUCAUAAACUACUAGUUGCGUAAGUAAAUAAAAUUGUUCAAGAUUGUUGGAGAUCGAGUGGUCUAUAAUGAGGCUUAAGCGUCAACAAAUUAAAUAUAUAAAGAAGCUAUUUAAUUAAAAAUAAUAAAUGAAACUGAUUGAUAAUAAUUGCACUUGGUCUUGACUAUAAAGGCUAUUACCUAUUAUUAAGGUAAAUUGUUAAAAAAAUGUUAUAUUAAAUUAUAUUGAAUAUUAACGAUUAAACAAUAAUAUGUAUAUAUAUAUAAAUAUUGUGUAGAAAAUGGUGAAAACUAAAAAAAAAAAAAAAAAGUUAACAAUAACAAAACAUAAUAACGAAAUGAGAUCAUAAUAUAUUGUUACUAGAUAAGGUAAAUUAAGAUAAUAAAGCAAUUAAACACAAAUGUAUGAACUUUAAAUGUAAAAGUCAAAUUACAGUAUUGUACACUUUAUUGUUAUUGUUUCUAUUGUAAUAAUUAUAAUUAUUAUUAUUAUCACGAUUGGAUAAUAAAAAUAAUUUCAAUUUCAAUGUUUAGUUUUAUUUGAUGAGGAUUGGUUGCUUAUCAAUUUAUACGUUAAUAUCAAUAAUAAUAAUAAUAAUUAUAUUUAAAUGGUGCAUUAAAGCCCGCACGAUGUGUUGUAUACAUGACUAUUAACUGUAUGUAAAUUAUAUAUAUGUAUUAAAAAAUUAAACAGUA